UUAUUCGAGUUUACACUUACACUUACUGACUUUUCUAUUUAUCUACAUAAAGUUUGGUGAUAUAUUUAGUCAUUUAGUUGAUAUACGCAGUCGUUCACUUAGCUUAUAUUUUCUUAGCUCUUCAUCGAGUAUCCACAGGCAACACAUCUUAUAAUAUUCUAACAGAACUGGCUACACAUGUAAGCCUCAGGACGAAAAACUGUCACAUUUACAUAUCAUUUGAGGAAAAUUAGAAUAUAACAGAUAAGUAUAACAAAUUACGUUUUUGUUAAUUUACCGCAAUAAUAAUAAUAAUAACGUCUUGUAACAUCGAACAAUUACUAUACUAAAUCUAAAUGUUACAACAUUUUUACAGGACCAUACAGCAACUAGAUAGUAAGGCUCGGUAAGAAGCUUAAUGUGACUAAGGGCUUAAAUGAGCCAACGGACAGUAUUUCUGUUCGCUGGAUCAUAGUAAUACUACACUUAGACGUCCUUCACCACUCUAGCAAGCUGGUUUCUACACCUACAUCAAAGGAAUUAAACCUUGGCCAAGAUCUGAGCUCCAGUAGCCAUGCUGAGAGCUGGCAUCUCUCAUGGUAUAAGAUAUUUUACUAGAAAACUACUUUGAGCCAGGGACCAGAGCCAAAAGCUGGGGGCCAAUUUUGAGAUUAUAUUAAAAGCGACUGCUAUUGUGUGUUUGGCCCAAGCUGUAGUAGAGAGAGCCAGGCAAACACAAGCACUACCCACCAUGCUCACUUUCUGCUUGUAUCCUAGAUGAUGUGCAUCGCUGGGCUAAAUCCGUAGAGGUCCGACUACUGAAUGGGUAAACUCCGGCAGACCAGACUGGAUCAGACGGCACAACUUUCCUUGCGUCGAUCGAUAGCAACUAGGCGUAAUGUAGAAAAGGAAGAUACAAUUGCAGGACGAUAACAGCGCAACGUUGUGAUCACAACAGGAAUUUGGGAUAGAGCUACUCAUGGGAAGGUUUGUUGAUGUACUCGGGAGCAUGUCAGUCAGGAUAUCAUUUACCAAUCACAUCUGUCUAUUUUUGGCGCUUAUGACGAAUAAGCGAUGACGUCAUGGAGGGCGGGUUUUACAGCUGUUGCAAUCAUACACCUGAGCACGUGCUUAUCCGAGAAUAUAAUAUCUGUACUUUGAAAUGGCCGACCACGGAGGACUGAAUCAUUACUUUUCGUUUUGACCAUUUAUAUUGUGGGAUAAAAUUUUCCUAGAUGCUAUCUAGUAUACAUAGAAAAAAUCUAUUCUCUCAGUAUAGAAGUUCUGUAGAUGAAAUUCAAAGAAACGAUAAAUAAGUUUCGUCUAUUUUAAUAGAACGACGUGUACUAUCUGGAUGGAGCACCUUUCGCUGUGAUGAUAACCUAAACUCGGGGUGGCGUAAUUUCGACAAUAUGUGGAAGAGUUUUAUUCGAUUGUAGUCCAGUUGUCGAGAUGUGCGGUUUGCAAUUGGUUUUACACAUGCCAGCUGAGAAGUAUGACAGCGAUGUGCAACAUUCGACAGAUGUUUAAACGGAUUAAGAACUGAUGAUUAUGCUGGUCUAAAAGUUGAUUGAAGGAUGUGACAUAGGAACGAGGAAUGGUCGAUGAAAAGGCUGUGUUAAAGAAGUGGUUUAGUGUAAAGUGCUUUAAUCAAGAAGUAGAAAGUGCAAGGGAAUAAACCAUUUUAACGCCGAA
rnacentral:lncRNA from 1 species